rnacentral:piRNA from 1 species
UGGACUUGCCUUUGUGUUAUUUUCCU